rnacentral:rRNA from 1 species
GACGAACGCUGGCGGCGUGCUUAACACAUGCAAGUCGAACGGAAAGGCCCUGCUUUUGUGGGGUGCUCGAGUGGCGAACGGGUGAGUAACACGUGAGUAACCUGCCCUGGACUUUGGGAUAACUUCAGGAAACUGGGGCUAAUACCGGAUAGGAGCUCCUGCUGCAUGGUGGGGGUUGGAAAGUUUCGGCGGGUGGGGAUGGACUCGCGGCUUAUCAGCUUGUUGGUGGGGUAGUGGCUUACCAAGGCUUUGACGGGUAGCCGGCCUGAGAGGGUGACCGGCCACAUUGGGACUGAGAUACGGCCCAGACUGCUACGGGAGGCAGCAGUGGGGAAUAUUGCACAAUGGGCGGAAGCCUGAUGCAGCAACGCCGCGUGCGGGAUGACGGCCUUCGGGUUGUAAACCGCUUUCGCCUGUGACGAAGCGUGAGUGACGGUAAUGGGUAAAGAAGCACCGGCUAACUACGUG